rnacentral:sRNA from 14 species
UUAGUCAACGGCUAGCGGACAACCGUAAGGGAGGGGCAUUAAGGAGUUGACUAAAUAACACCU